rnacentral:tRNA from 2 species
CGGGAUAUAGCGCAGUCUGGUAGCGCACACGCCUGGGGGGCGUGUGGUCGCAGGUUCAAAUCCUGCUAUCCCGACCA